UCCGUUGUGGUCUAGUGGUUAGAAUUUUUGGCUCUCACCCAUAAGGCCGGGGUUCGAUUCCCCGCAUCAGAA
rnacentral:tRNA from 1 species